CUAUUUAUGUAUGAGUGUAGAGUAAAGCAGUUCCUCCCAGACGUUAUCUCUUUCCCGAUGAUUCCGCUUCCAAGACGAACCUUCUAAGUCCUCCCCAUAAGUAAUUGUCUGAACUAUUGGCCAACAUUGCCGAAUGGCAGGAUUUUAUAUUUAGUAAAAAGGUUUUAAAUAUGUCUAAGAAAAAUGGUCAGGUUAAGUGGUUCAAUGAAAGCAAAGGUUUUGGUUUUAUUGAGCAAGCUGAUGGCGGCAAAGAUGUAUUCGUACAUUUUUCUGCAAUCGCAACUGAUGGUUUCAAAACUCUGGCUGAAGGCCAGCGUGUAGAAUACACCAUUCAGGACAGCCCGCGCGGUCCGGCUGCUGCCAACGUUAUUGCUCUCUGAUAAGAGGCUAAC
rnacentral:sRNA from 1 species